AGAAAGUGGACUCCGCCCAGCCCUGCUUCUGAAUCCAGAGUGUGCCGUGUCAGAAAAAUCCAGCAGCUGUGUGUCUCCCCUCCAUUAUGUCUAACGACAAGCAAGAUGAGUUUGAGGAAGAAAUAUUUUUUGAUUCGGACUCUGAUUACAUUCCAAUAAUUGAGCCAGGUACUUCCUCCCAAGAAGAACCAGAUGAAGAAGACAUGGCUGUUACUGAAACAAAUUCUAUUAACCUACAACAAGGCAGCUCUGUCACUUAAGACAGCUAUAGUAACC